UACGGAGGAUGCAAGCGUUAUCCGGAAUGAUUAGGCGUAAAGCGUCCGCAGGUGGCUAUGUAAGUCUGCUGUUAAAGAGCAAGGCUCAACCUUGUAAAGGCAGUGGAAACUACAUGGCUAGAGUGCGUUCGGGGCAGAGGGAAUUCCUGGUGUAGCGGUGAAAUGCGCAGAUAUCGGGAAGAACACCCGUGGCUAAGGCGGCUACUCUCAGUACGGU
rnacentral:rRNA from 1 species